AGAGUUUGAUCCUGGCUCAGGAUGAACGCUGGCGGCGUGCUUAACACAUGCAAGUCGAGCGAAGCAGUUAAGUUGAUUUCUUCGGAUUGAUUCUUAACUGACUGAGCGGCGGACGGGUGAGUAACGCGUGGGUGACCUGCCCCAUACCGGGGGAUAACAGCUGGAAACGGCUGCUAAUACCGCAUAAGCGCACAGAGCUGCAUGGCUCGGUGUGAAAAACUCCGGUGGUAUGGGAUGGGCCCGCGUCUGAUUAGGCAGUUGGCGGGGUAACGGCCCACCAAACCGACGAUCAGUAGCCGGCCUGAGAGGGCGAUCGGCCACAUUGGGACUGAGACACGGCCCAAACUCCUACGGGAGGCAGCAGUGGGGAAUAUUGCACAAUGGGGGAAACCCUGAUGCAGCGACGCCGCGUGAGCGAAGAAGUAUUUCGGUAUGUAAAGCUCUAUCAGCAGGGAAGAUAAUGACGGUACCUGACUAAGAAGCCCCGGCUAACUACGUGCCAGCAGCCGCGGUAAUACGUAGGGGGCAAGCGUUAUCCGGAUUUACUGGGUGUAAAGGGAGCGUAGACGGCAAGGCAAGUCUGAUGUGAAAACCCAGGGCUUAACCCUGGGACUGCAUUGGAAACUGUCUGGCUCGAGUGCCGGAGAGGUAAGCGGAAUUCCUAGUGUAGCGGUGAAAUGCGUAGAUAUUAGGAGGAACACCGGUGGCGAAGGCGGCCUGCUGGACUGUAACUGACACUGAGGCUCGAAAGCGUGGGGAGCAAACAGGAUUAGAUACCCUGGUAGUCCACACUGUAAACGAUGAAUGC
rnacentral:rRNA from 1 species